rnacentral:tRNA from 1 species
GGUGAUCGUAGCUCAGUUGGUUAGAGCGCCAGAUUGUGGCUCUGGAGGUCGUGGGUUCGAACCCCAUCUUUCACCC